UCCAGUUGAAGUGUACCUCCCAAACCCAGAGAGCCCAGGUAAUGUAGUGGACUUUGGAAUAAAACUUCAGGUCAUCGACGGAGAGUUCGCCCUGAAUGACAUAGUGGAAAAUGGUCUAGCUCAGGCGGCUGGAAUCGAGAAUGGCGAUGUGCUGGUGGACGUCAACGGUGCGAACAUCGAGGCGUGCAGUGCCCAAUAUAUCUUAGAUAUCCUCCGUACAAAAGUGAAGCCCAAGCUUCUCUUGGCCGUAAAGCGCACAUCGGAUGAUGGAAAGUUCGUGUUUGUGUGGAGUUUCUUCGAAGUGGUCAUUCAAGGUAAACAGCAGCA